CGGCGCGGGCGGCGGAGCGGCGGGAUGCGGCAGGGCCGGGCCGCAGGGCUGGCGGGGCUGGCCGCGGUGCUCCUGGUGGCUGCAGGCAGAGCCCAGGUGCAGCAGGAGCCGUGGGCAGAGACCAGGGAUGGCACCGGCAUCAACAUCACCUGCUCACACCCCAACAUCCAGACUGUCGACUACAUCCACUGGUACCGUGAUCUCCCGGGCCGAGGACCCGCAUUUCUCGUGAGCAGUCGCAAAGACUCCAGACCAGUGUCAGACCCGGAGGGGUGGCUGUGGGUGGCAGCAGACCGCCGGUCCAGUGCCCUGUGGCUCGCCCGGCCCCGGCUUCGGGACGCGGCGGUGUAUUACUGCGCCCUGAGAGCCACGGGGAGAGGAGCCGGGGCUGCGGCCGGGCAGGAACCGUGGCGGGCGGGGCCGGGCGUGUGUGGCGGGGGCGAGGCAGGGGCACAGCCCCCAGGGGGCGCUGCCCCUCCGCCCGCCGGGUCCACGUCGCCCCGCAGCCCCGGGGGGCCCCCGCCAGCCCGGCCCCUCCAAGGCACUUCAGUUCUGCUGGAAGGGUCUGGAGCCUGAGUGCAGCUGAACGGAGAUGGCACCAGCCUGGCAGAGGCGUGUCCAGGGAAGAGGCACUGAAACACAGCUCCUUUCUCCUGAGCCCUCCUUUUCCUCACGCUGCAACAAUCACCCUCUGGUACUGCAGAAUUCAGGCCCCAACAAGGACCGUAUCAGGACAGUUUGGGUCCUUGGUUUAAUUCAGGGUAACAGUGUUAGGAGUGCCUCAGCGUGGCUGUCCAUCGACCACCUUGGGAUGUAUAGGAGAAGCAGACUGCUGUGAGGCUCGUGCUAGUGCCUGUCAGUGAGGGAUUUCUACCCCUGGACACUGCCAGGUCCUCCUGGGAGUCAGUGCUGGAGCCAGGCCCAUCUCCUCACACCUGUCUAUAAAGGCCUGCCAGCAUUGUCUCAGAAAUGCAUCGCAGAGGGGACAGAUUCCCAUCCAGCCCAUGUCAGGCUGGUUCUCCUGAAGGCAAAGGGGCAGCUCCACAUGUGGGAUUUCACGGCAAAGGGGUUUGCUCAGCUUAGUGGGUGUCUCAUCCAAGCUAAGCUGCCUUGUGCAAACACAGAAGCAGAAUCCACCCACAGUUUUAUGCAUUUGCCAAUGACACGCACCCAGAACUUCACCCAAGGUUGAUAUACUGCUAACAGUCUCCUGGGGCAUUCAAGGUAGGCAAUAAACAGUGGGGCAAUUAAGAAA